GCUCCGGGGGCUCCCUGGGUUCCCAGCCAGUCCGGGGAGUGAUCCGCGGCUGACCGGUCCGCAGGGAGGGAAAUGUCAGCUGGAAUGAGGACCCAAGCUACAACUCAGACUUUGGAAUCCUGCUGCUCCCGUGAGGACAGAAUCCUCGGCUCUGCCUGCAUACAAAGUGGACAGAGCUGCACUCCUCCUCCUCUGUGCCACUCCGGGAAGCAGUGGCGGCAUGUGCGCAACCCGUUGGGCCCCCAUCUGAGCUGGUCACUUUUUAAUAAAGGCAUUUUAAAGGAGCAUGA